UACGAAGGGGGCUAGCGUUGCUCGGAAUCACUGGGCGUAAAGCGCACGUAGGCGGAUUGUUAAGUCGGGGGUGAAAUCCUGGAGCUCAACUCCAGAACUGCCUUUGAUACUGGCGGUCUCGAGUCCGGGAGAGGUGAGUGGAACUGCGAGUGUAGAGGUGAAAUUCGUAGAUAUUCGCAAGAACACCAGUGGCGAAGGCGGCUCACUGGCCCGGUACUGACGCUGAGGUGCGAAAGCGUGGGGAGCAAACAGG
rnacentral:rRNA from 1 species